CCCUUUGUUGUCCGACUCUGUUGCCUCCGGGGCGACCCUGCCUUCGGGCGGGGGCUCCGGGUGGACACUUCAAACUCUUGCGUAACUUUGCAGUCUGAGUAAACUUAAUUAAUAAAUUAAAACUUUUAACAACGGAUCUCUUGGUUCUGGCAUCGAUGAAGAACGCAGCGAAAUGCGAUAAGUAAUGUGAAUUGCAGAAUUCAGUGAAUCAUCGAAUCUUUGAACGCACAUUGCGCCCCCUGGUAUUCCGGGGGGCAUGCCUGUUCGAGCGUCAUUUCACCACUCAAGCCUCGCUUGGUAUUGGGCAACGCGGUCCGCCGCGUGCCUCAAAUCGACCGGCUGGGUCUUCUGUCCCCUAAGCGUUGUGGAAACUAUUCGCUAAAGGGUGUUCGGGAGGCUACGCCGUAAAACAACCCCAUUUCUAAGGUUGACCUCGGAUCAGGUAGGGAUACCCGCUGAACUUAAGCAUA
rnacentral:rRNA from 1 species